GACGAACGCUGGCGGCGUGCCUAAUACAUGCAAGUCGAACGAACGGAUAAAGAGCUUGCUCUUUUGAAGUUAGUGGCGACGGGUGAGUAACACGUGGGUAACCUGCCUCACAGCUGGGGAUAACAUCGAGAAAUCGAUGCUAAUACCGAAUGUGCUGAACAUCAUAAGAUGUUCAAGUGAAAGACGGUUUCGGCUGUCACUGUGAGAUGGAUCCGCGCUGGAUUAGCUAGUUGGUAAGGUAAUGGCUUACCAAGGCGACGAUCCAUAGCCGACCUGAGAGGGUGAUCGGCCACAUUGGGACUGAGACA
rnacentral:rRNA from 1 species